UUUUACUGAGAAAAAUAUGAGGCCCUGUUGAAAACGAGGCCCGAAACUAUAGGCCCCUUAGCCUUAUGUUCAUUUGUACUGUCAUUCUUCACAAUAAAUUGUUGCAACUUUUGCACCAACCAUUUCUGGUCCUAUGUCGACCGAGACUCGAUAAAAAUCAAAUGGGAUCAGACAAUCUGGAGCCUAAAGGGUUGAGAAAUUUGUACGCAGGAGUUAAGGUUGGAUUCGAUGCUCCAUGCUUGGCCCUCAUCGUACAGGUCGCGAUUCACCACCAUGGGUUGGGAGACGUGAUAAAGCAGAUUGUAAACUUUCUUCUGCUUCAAGAGAUAAUCCGUGUCGGC